GGGAGCUCUCCCAUAUGGUCGACCUGCAGGCGGCCGCGAAUUCACUAGUGAUUCGUAUUACCGCGGCUGCUGGCACGGAGUUAGCCGGAGCUUAUUCUCCCGGUACUGUCAUUAUCAUCCCGGGUAAAAGAGCUUUACAACCCUAAGGCCUUCAUCACUCACGCGGCAUUGCUGGAUCAGGCUUGCGCCCAUUGUCCAAUAUUCCCCACUGCUGCCUCCCGUAGGAGUCUGGGCCGUGUCUCAGUCCCAGUGUGGCUGAUCAUCCUCUCAGACCAGCUAAGGAUCGUCGCCUUGGUGCGCCUUUACCACACCAACUAGCUAAUCCUACGCGGGCUCAUCCUCAGGCGAUAAAUCUUUGGACUUAACGUCAUCAUCCGGUAUUAGCCAUCGUUUCCAAUGGUUAUUCCGAACCUGAGGGCAGAUUCCCACGCGCUACGCACCCGUGCGCCACUAGACCCGAAGGUCUCGUUCGACUUGCAUGUGUUAGGCAUGCCGCCAGCGUUCAUUCUGAGCCAUGAUCAAACUCUAAUCGAAUUCCCGCGGCCGCCAUGGCGGCCGGGAGCAUGCGACGUCGGGCCCAAUU
rnacentral:rRNA from 1 species